GGUCCAUUCGUUUAUUCAUUCAACAGGUAUUUAUAGAUCACCUAUUAUGAGCCAGGGAGAACAACGGUAAACAAGAUAGUCACCUUCCAGAACUCACUGGUGAAUAUGAACCUAGCGAAAACAAGCUCCAGCCUUCUCUACCGAAGUGACCACGGGACCUGCCUACAGCACUGACUUGUGGGACCAUGGAAAACUGCCACAAGAAGACAGAAAGCAUUGGACAAUGAAGAGAUGUUUUGAGGCCACACGUCUGUCCACUUCCUAUCAGACUCCACACUCCCCACCAGACUGAACUAAGUAACGUGAAAUACUUGGAAACUGUUUACCGAAUGAACGAAUGAAUACAUGAGUAAAUGCAUUGCUAAUGGCAUUAAAUACAUGCGGGUAUCUGUUCUCUGAGAAUAAAUCAGUUCCAUGAUUAUGGAAUUUCAC
rnacentral:lncRNA from 1 species